ACCGUUUCUGGCCUUUUGGCUUUGAUCAAGUGUAGUAUCUGUUCUUUCUAGACGAAACUCUAGAAUUAGGUCAUCGACCUAACAAAAGUUUCUCUGAUCUUUCGCGCCUGAAUCGAUUCGAUGGCUUGCUGUCGGUCCUUUCGCAAUGCUGGCUCGUAUCACACUUUCGCGUACCGGUGUUAAGGCAU
rnacentral:snRNA from 1 species